UACGAAGGGGGCUAGCGUUGCUCGGAAUGACUGGGCGUAAAGGGCGCGUAGGCGGCGCAUUUAGUCAGGCGUGAAAUUCCUGGGCUCAACCUGGGGACUGCGCUUGAUACGGGUGUGCUUGAGGAUGGAAGAGGCUCGCGGAAUUCCCGGUGUAGCGGUGGAAUGCGUAGAGAUCGGGAAGAACAUCAGUGGCGAAGGCGGCCUGCUGGGCUGUUGCUGACGCUGAGGCGCGACAGCGUGGGGAGCAAACAGG
rnacentral:rRNA from 1 species